CUUUUGGGUGCUGUGAGGAAGAGUUGGAGGAGGCUGGUGCAUCCCCAGAGACGUGCUGCUCUGUGCACCUGGAGAAGCUCCCCUUGCCCCAGCACCUCAGGCUCGUUGAGAGGAGGGUACAGUACUUGGCCAGACACCUGGAUGAAGUUCUGAUACCGCCGAGUGUGUCGACAUCUGGGAUUAGCCAGUUCUCCUAUUCCUCCAUGGAAUCCACCACC